ACGCUAGCAGUUCAUAGUUUUCAUAGUUACUGUAACCAGUAACCAAGGUUACCUUCCCCCGGUUAAUUGCUGGUUUCAUUUUCAAACAGUUUUCAUUUUGAUUAUUUAAUUCUUAACCAAUUUAUUAAAUUACAUUUUCUUAUCACUCUGAAUUUUGUGCUAACUAAACUGCCUCAGAUUCACCAAGAUAACAAUCAUUAAAUGACCAAAUUAAAGGUAAACUUCAAGGUUUAAUUGAUUCACCCAUAGAUGGAGAUAUAACUUCUGUUAAACGUUGAUUAUUAAGGAGUGAUAAAUCACUUUAAAUUAUCAUGCUCAAUCCUCAGCUUUAAUCUACCAAUUUGCUGCAUUUCUGUCUCCCAACUCAGCAUUUAUCCAUCUUCACAUGCUCGAACCUGUUAAACUUGAACCAGAUUGGAUGAAUGAAAAUCAAACGAUGGUAUUGAUGGUUAAAUUACCAGUGAAAAAUUUCACACAACGUUUCAGUAAAUAAUCUCAAAGCAAAAAUGUUGAUUUUCCGGAGACAUACAAUUAGCCUCUACAAAGUGUCAUGGUGAGGUAUAUAUUCAUUGGAUUUUGGGAUAAUUUGCUU